CUCGUGCGACAAAAUUUUAUUGCCCCCGAAGCAGACGCAAUCCUGAAUAUCCCGUUGAGCUUUGAAGGAGGAGAUGAUUCAUGGGCUUGGGCUGGGGAAAAGUCUGGGAUCUACUCUGUGAAAUCUGCUUACCGAUCUUUGAUGACCCGCAACGAGCAAGGCGCUCUAGGGGAAGGGACGGUGACUGAAACUUCAGAGAAUCAUAAAAAGUUGUGGUCUAGACUAUGGAAGCUCAAGGUUGUGCCAAAAGUGCGGGUGUUU
rnacentral:rRNA from 1 species